GUGGCUGUGGCUCAGUGGUAGAGCACGCUGCCUGGCAUGUGUGAGGCACUGGGUUCCAUCCUCAGCACCAUA
rnacentral:tRNA from 1 species